ensembl:lncRNA
AAUUUCAGAUUCGGCUCCACGAAAACUGUCUUGCAUGCCUCACCCCCACGUCAGGACGACCACAAUGCUGCCAUAUUAAGAUCUCCCAUCACCAGCAUCCUGAUGAUCCCCUUCUCCUGACUCCUGAGCUGAAUCUCUGUUUUCUGGACCCCGUGUCUUCAUUCUAGCUAUACCGUCUUAUUUCGCUGAUGCAACAUCCUGAGAAAAGGUCCUCUCCAUCUGGACAACUGACAAGUGAUAAGAGAAAGAAGGAGACACCUGCUCUGAUCAUCUCAGCUUCAAUAGUGAUACUUACAACUUCUCAUGUUCCAGUGGUAAGAAUCAGUCUCAUGAUAACCAGCUAAAUGCAGGCUUUGCCACAUAUGUCAAAAAAUAGUUUUCUAU